AUUUGUUUUUUGUUUUUUUUCAGCCUUUUUCUGUUUAUUAAAAAACUCAAAUCCAAACUGUGUUAAAUUGCAUCAUGCCUGGAUAUAUUUUAAGCUUAAGAGAAAAACAGCCUUAAGCUAGUGAUGGUAAAGGUGUAAAGAUUAUUAAGAGAGUCCUUAUUGUUGGAGCAUGAGCGAGUUAAUAGAUGGAGUUGUUUUCCAUGAUGUAUGUAUGUGCAUUUGCUGGUAAAUCUGAGCGGAUAUUAUUAUUUAGCAUGGAGACGUCUGUGUGUGAAACAGAAGUGGUUAACUGUCUGCGGGUGUCCCCACCUGCAAUAGAAAAGUAUCAAGGAAGCAUACCUUAUUGAUGUGGCUGGCUUGUCCUCUCACUCUUGAUGAACUUUAUUUCCUCGGUUUUGUUCACCACAAGCUAAUCUGAACACAGCAAAGACAUUGUUUCUUUAUUUCCAUACAUCAACACCACUGACUUAACACACUGUUAAGUUACACACUGCACUCACAGAACUGACUUUUGCACAACCCCAGGUCUCAGUUAAACACAGUAAAGUGGCUCCCUGUAUGAUUAUAAAUGCUAAACAGAUGACUUUAGGAUUUGUAGACUACACACCUAUUAGUACCACCAGUCAUUGUUCGAGGUGUUGAAAGGCAAUGUGUUUCAAACCAGAGCAGAUUUGGGGCGAACCCAUUUGAUCAUUUCCAAAGCCUGCCCACGUGGUCACCCUCCAUUCUCACAUCUGUGCCACAGAAAACUACCUCAGGGGCCCCUGAAACCUUCAUCUGCCCCUGGCCCCCCUUUACCCUGACACACACACACACAUGAAAACACAGAGUCACUCCUGCUAACCAUCACCUUAAGGGGCCCCAGGAGAAAGGUGUGUGAAAAGAAAGACAUUUGCUAGUUCACACACAGUGCAUGCACUUGCACUAGAGCUAGAAGUGAUUGGUGAGAGCACACUGUCUGCUUUGACCUGGUUUACUGGCCGUGUGGACAGCACUAGGAUAUUGCUUUGUGUGUGUGUGUGUGUGUGAGAGAGAGAGAGAGAGAGAGAGAGAGAGAGAGAGCAUGCUCUUUGGCGGACAGGCAGUGCAGCUAAAUGUGGAGCCGCUGGCGGGGAGGCUGAGUUUCUGCCAACAGCGGCCCCCUCAACCACAGGAAGCCUCCAGAGCACCCAGAAAAAAGAGAAAAAAAGAAAGAGUGGGAGCAGUGGAGAAAAAGAAAGAGAACACAAUAAGUUGGAACAUCAUGCCUGCCAAAAUGGUGACUUUGCAGAGACAGUGUGGGGUGGUGGUGGGGGAUGCAGAAAGAAGAACCAACAGUAUACUUCUAUACAAUCUAUAUAGACAUAUGCACUGCACAGCUGCAAGAGUUCAGCAUUGUUGUAACUAAAUGUGUAAAACUAAAUGUGUGCAGUGGUUCACUGACCAGGUGAUAUAGCUCUUCUCUUGCCUUCUGCUUCCUGGCCUGGAUGUAUAGCAGUAUACUGUUGGCAUUGACAGCUAUUGACAGUCUCACCAUGAACAGAGAGGCAAAGCAACAGAGAACAAAUGCACAAAUUGCAAGGGAGGAGCCUCAGUAGUUCAUUGGAUGUACAAAGUUUAGUGUACAAACGGGUCUGGUACUUAGAGAUACUGGCCAGUAGCAAUUAACAGGCCUCCGAAACAAUGCAGCCUUAUGAAAGCCCUAAUUUAAUGUCUUAGAUUUGGCCAGGAGAAAUGAGGAGGCAUCCAUCUAUGUUACAUGAGCCUACCAGCACAACCAUUGUACAAAACCGGAAAUGUGAGGUGGGUGGUUAGACAAGAUUACUCUGCCAGGCUGUGGAGUCAGAGAAAAGAAGGGGGUGAAACAGAAAGAGCAUAAAUGAUGGGGAGGGAUACAGACAGCAAGCAAAAGUGUUUGCAUAUGUUCUUUCUAAGUAUUUGGUUCAGUUUGAAAAUGAUCCAUGGAUCUAUAGUAUUAAUAAGGCUGUACUUUACUAGUCGCUUCUGAUUGCUGUAACUCUCCAGUGUAAACACAUUCCAAUAAACUUUGCAGCUCAGAAAGAAAAACUUUUCUAUUUCAGUUGUUCCUUCUCCAAACUUUCUUUGUUCUGUUUAUCGAUUGUUUCAGACAUCCUGGGGAGAAAUGCAAAACACUGCAUCCUGUCUUCCCUUUUCUGUAACUCUUUCCUCUCCCCCUCCUCAUCAUUAAAAUAGUUACAAUGUUACCUUUUGCAGACUGUAUGUUCUUCUUUAAUUGGCCCAAAUGUCCAGCAAAUGGAAGCCUUUGGCUCAGCAUGCCUGUGGUUUUGCACUCAUCUCUCCAAUGAAAAGAACCAGGUGUGAAAAGUGCAAUAAUUCAUCUCUGCAGUGAUUCCUUUGGCUCAAGGCUGGAACAGCAGGGGGAUGGACGACUUCAUUUUUGUUUGAAACAACACCGGUUGAGAGUCAUUUUGGCACAGAGCAGUGGAACAUCAAAAGAUGAGUAAAUUUUGAUUUGCAGUACAUGAUUAUGAUCACAUUAAUUAAAUCAUGUUACAUAGAAUUUUAUGUAAAAAUCAUAGUGCAUGUGCUAUGACUUUCAAUUAACUACUGAGUACAAAGCAGGUUUCUGUCUAUCAUUCUUUUUCAGACUUUGUCUGAUAAAACACACAAAUUCAAAAUAUAACCAUCAAACUGCAUCAUGCCUGAAUGUUUUGAAGCUAAGCGGUAAACCAACCUAGAGAUGCAUUACUAUAAGAAUAAUUUGUUGGUGAAUGGACUUAUUAGUAAAUAAUGACUUGUGUCAAACACAGAAUUCAUGUAAAAAUCAUAGUUCAGGUGCUGCAUUUUUUAAAUUGUUGUACCAAACUAUAUAUGCUCUUCUGAUUACAUUACUGGUUAUAUUAUGUUAAUCAGUGAAUGUUUCACUGACAAGUCUGAUCUCUGGAGCAAAUUAUACUAUGCCCCUUGCCACUUGGAAUAUGGUAUGCUUGGUGGUAAGAAUGUACUCUAUGUCUAAACAGUACUUCUAUUGCUUCCAUUGUCUUUGCCUAUAUCUAGACUGCAAAUGGGCAAAAAAGUUUGGGCUGCCUGGUCAGAAAGAGGGUAAGCUUAGAGUUCAUUCAUGUGAGUGGUGUGUUUGGGGACUACUCCCAGUAGCCUCAAUAAAAAAAAAACAAAGCAAAAAAGUAUUCUGGCCAUUUAAGUUCCAGGUUCAACUAGGCCUCAGAUGCCAUUAGUCAUUGAUUGUUUGCUGGAGACUGAGGUUGUCAGCAAGCUGGUCACUCAUGGCAACCCUAGGCAUGCUGUGUGGCCUCUAACCUGGCAGGGAGUCCUUGCAGGAAGCCUUCUUCACCUAGCAGCUUCAUCACUUUGUCUGCACUAGACAGCCCUUGGGAGACUUAAAUAAUUACAGCUUAAAAACCACUGCAAAAAUCUAUGCCUGAGAAAUGGUAUAGUGAGUAUAUACUGUUUUAUCAUGCAUUUCUGAUUAUUUAUUUAUUUUAUAUGAAUCUAAUGUCCUAUGUCUCUGAUGAGUUCUUUGUUUAAAAAAAUGAGACAAUCUUAGCAAAUUUUUUAAAUAUUGCUUCAUUCAAAUACUGAGGACUAGAAUAUUAGACAUUAGUUUGAAUAUUACACAUUUUGCAGUACUUUAUAUUGGUUGUGGUUGUGUGGCUUGUGUGAUCACAUAGAUAGAUAACUCUCCACAGCUAAGUAUAUGCACUGCCUUUGAAUUAUUGCCUUAUAUUUAUUUGCUGUUUCUGAUGUGACAUCAGAUUGCUAUUGCCAGAUUUGUCAACCCUGCUUCUGUAGAAAAGCAUCCACAAGUGGUCUAAUACCAUCUAUCUUAAUUUCGACUUUUGCCCUACAUGCAUGUAUGUGUGUGAAGCGAUGACUUGAGGCUUAUUACUUGAAGUUAAUGGCAAAGAUGAAGCUGCCAAGUCAAUUGGGGCAAGGGCUAUCUAUAGAACAAGGCUGCACCCCCACCCAUCACCCACCUCCUACACCUUGUAAUGAAAACAUCAUCAAUUACUCCAAUGACGGGCCCCUGGGAUGUGGGGCAGGCAACUCUUUGGACCUUGUCUUUGUGGGAUGGACUCUCAAGCCAUCCCCCAUGUCCCCCAGAGAGGGAGAGAUCGAGAAAACCACAUGUAUACAUUAUUUGCAAGCCUUCUAGGCUGACACUGGUGUGUCUUUUAAAGAAUGGGUUGAAUUGGCAGACCCUGCAUUGGCUGCCAGUGGCCGAUGGACGCCUCCUUGUCACUUAGGAUGGUGGCUUUUCUCUGGCCAUCUGUGCCAUGAUUGAUGAGUGGGACACUGCCGAGGCUUUCUCUUCUCCAACUGCAUCCCAUACAUCAGCUGUGCUUAAAUAUUAAACAUCAUUAUGCUGAGAAAUCGCAAUACCAUCCUACUCUUCGCUAAUCUAUUGCCCUUUUUCUGCCUUUCCCCUGUUUCACCAGCAUACUGUUACACUUCUCUGUGUGUAACAUCCCUCAAAAUCAACAUAAUUUAUACAGCCUCUGAACCACUGAGGAUUGGCAUCAACAGUCAUUCCGGUCCCACAUUAGCACUUCUCCAAGCCCAACAAUUACAUAAUGUUAAAUCACUUUUCAUCAAUUUGUCAUGCAGAUCAGGUAGAUCACAUUUGAUCUUGCACUCUUAGUUAACAGCUUCUGAUGGUGUCUGCAGUUUUACAUUGUUGACUGCUGAGCCUGACUUGGGUUUCAUUAUCAGAAGUGUGUAAAGAGUUAGCUUGCCAAGGAGGAGCAGCCAAUGGCAUUUGUGUGUGAUUGCAGUAACCUCAACUGGCAUCUUCUUAGUGUAACAAGCAGGCCAGGUUGCUGACCACAGUGGCUUGCUUUUCAUGCUGGUAAGUUCUGGUUUCCAUGCAGGACUCAAUGAAAGGCCUAGUCAUCACAGGCUCUCAAAGAGUGGUUCUGGUGUAGUUCCCUGCCGCAGCUUUGCUUCUCACUGGGGCCAGCAUAGUACAUCCUGCUGAGACAGCAAGUACAAGUCCUGAGGCCUGCCAUGUUCCAUCUGUCUGUGUGCUGUGAUUUUAAUGCAAGAUAUAUCAAGCACUGCACAGUAUUUCAUGUUCUCAUUGAGGCUUAUGAGGUAUUGGCAAUGAGAUUUUGGGAAGUGCUUGAGUCCAUCAGGGCAGAUGAGUGCAUCUGGAGGGAAACAUUUGAACAGCAUAAAAAGGCUUUAGUAUCUUGAGUUAAAUGAACAAAAAACUUUGUAGUGAGAGAUCACUACUGAUUUGUCAGAAUCGGGUGUUUGAUUAAGUUCUUUUGUUGAAGCUAGUUUAGAUGAUCUACUUUUGUGUUUGUCCAGUUUAUGUAGCAAUCUGCAUGGCUUGGGGAUAUUUCUGACUGUAGUCAGCAGCUCAAUAAAUUUUACUUACAAUGGCUCCAGCUCCCAGUCCCAGCCCUAGAGCAGAACUCCACCAGAUACACUCCUUCCAGUGUGCAGGUCUGUGUCUGAUUAUAUGGCAGCAGAGUUACUCUGUUUGAUAAAUUAGUUUAUCAGUUCAGUUCUUCCUCUUUAUAAUAUGAGUCAUGCAUGUUGCACUUAAAUUAGAAGUUUUAUCCUGAUUAUUCUAGCUCUAUCUAAGAUCUGGCAGAUAAUGAGGUUUGACUGUUCAUGCCAGUGCAAUAAGAGAUGCAUGGCUGUAUGGGCACUGCAUUUAGAGUACCUGCUGAUCCUUGUAAUUCCUGUGGAGAUUCAGUAAGCAUAAAAAAUAGCAGGAAAUAUGUGUGUGUGUGUUAGAAAGAAUGGAAUAAGCCAUCUUCUCUGUGCUAACAGUGAAGUGUUUUUGUGGUCAUGGCUGAGGUAUUGCACAUAGUCAAGGAAGUGUUCCCUUGUUUGUUAGAACAGAUUAAUUCACUGAUUUUUAAAUACUGUGCUAUGAUGGGGAAGGUCUUUCUGUGGCAAAUAGAAAUAAUGAGAAAGGGAGACUUGGAGAGGUAUGACUCUUAAUGUUAACCAUCACCCACCAUGUAUUUGUUUUUUCAAUUUCUCCUUGCUUGGAAUGGGUAUACGGGAGCAACUGUAAAAUGCCCUUACCUAGUUCUAAAUCCUCUUCAACUGUGACCAGGUUUACCCUCCCCAGCAGCCUCUCCCAUGAACAUUAAUUAAAACAGUGAGGGCACUAGGGUAAUUAUGAUAAUAAUAUAAUAGUAUAGCAUGAGUUAUUAGAAUUCAGGUUCAAACCUCCUUGUUCAAAUAUGCUUCCUUUUAGUAUCAAGUUCCUGUGCUGUUAUUUAAAAGAUAAUUUCCUCGAAAGUACAGACACAUGAAUGGUCAAAAGAGCAAUAUAGUAACACAAUUCUAUUCCCAUUUAAUGUACUGCGAGUUUCCAUACGAUGAGAGAAUCUCAGCUUGAUUUUGGCUGAAAGAGCAGAGGACAAGAGCAGUUGCUGUGUAACCGACUGCCUUUGUAGACACUGGUAGCUGUUUGCAUUUCACUCUCUGGCCUCUUGAUAAUUUCCCAAACAACAAUUUGUUUUCUUUGGCAUAAGAGGAGACAGACCUAGCUGGUGCAGCUUUUCAUUCUCACACAAAAUAUUUAGUGGUUUAUUCUCUCUCAGAAGAGUGUUUGGGCAGCAAUGUGUGGCACUGGACUGCUGAUGGUUAUACCUACCUGGUUUGACAUCUCCUGCUGAGUGCCUUCCAGCUGCAGUUUGGCAUGUCACAUGACCUCCCUUGUAUGCUUUUCAAUGUUCCCCCUACUCAAAUGGGCUGUAAUUACCAGCUUAAAGAGGUUUAGUGGUCCAGUAAACUACGUAAUCACCCCCACCCCCACACGCCUGAAUUAACCCUGAGUCAUCAGCUGCAGUUCAGCAAACUCUCAGAAAACCUAAAACAUGUGUGACCCUAUCAUAUUACCCUGUUAUUGUGAAGCAACAGGUGUGUGGUAACAUGUAUCACCAUUUAAACAUGUAAUAUGUGGCUUCCUAGACUCAUCACUGAAUUGUGUAAUGAGAGUGAAGAACUGGUUCAGCAACCACUAUUGUUUGAAUUUCUGUCAGGUCAGUGAUAGCCUUUGUCCAUCACCACCUGUCUUUAUAUACCAAAUGCUCCAGCUACACAAAAAUGUGACUGGGCAAAUUUGAUCAAGAACAAUUCAACAUAUAACAUAAGACCCAUAUGCACAGUGCAAUCAAAGAAGUACCAUCAUAGUGUAAAUAUGAGCUGCACUAAAAAUGCACAGCAAAGAUUACUGCAAACAAUUGGUAGUUCAUAUAGCAGAGAAUACUUACUGAGUAUUUAUUGGACAUAAUUCACACCUGUGUGUAUGUGAAUGCCAGUGGUAGAAUUCUCAUAGCUACUGAUCAUGCAAAAUAUACAUCAGUGCUGCAAUAUGUAAAGCCAUUCAAAUGCGUCCACCUAUGCCUCCAAAUGAAGUGGUCCUCUGCUCUUUUCAUGCCCUAAAAUUUUGUUAAUCUCUACCCACCAAACUUUGCAUGUUAUUCUAUGGAUCAUUACUGCAGGUAUGGAUUUAAUGAUGUAGCAUCUCAUCCAGCUACAGAAGCCUUAGUGGUUUACUUUGAAUAUGAUCUGUAAUCCAGACCAUUUCCCUGCAUUAAUUGUAGACACAUUUUUGCUAAGUGCAGCCAAAUCAAGUGGAUUUGUCCCGACCCAUAGGCACUGCAGUACACCCUCACCCCUAAACAAACAAAAGAUGUUUUUAGCAUGGAGCGACUAAUUAGAGUGCUAAAGACGAGUUUUUGACGCAUUUCCUUUUUUUUUCUUCUCCAGGACAAAUUCAAUGACAAAAAGAGCUUCUAUUGGGUGAAAUUUCUUCAGCUUUUCCUGUUGUAGAAUAAGUCUUUCUAAAUACAGGGGCUGUGAAUUAUUCAUGUGCUGGCUUUUUGUUCGUUUAGUUGGUUGUGAACUUCACAUCACUGCCCUAUGAAAAAGGUUCUGCAGAAUUCUCAACCACUAUAAGCCAGUCAGUGGGCCACUGAAACCCUGGCCUCCAGUUGUUUUCCGAAUGUGAGAGAUUCUUCUGGCACUCCCCCACAAAAUUCGACCACACAUUCGCAUAUGCAUACAUUUUUGUUAUUUUGUUAUUCAUACUAGGAUCUUGGGAUGAGAGGGGGUUUGCAAAAGCUUUGUGCUGUUAUUUUCUUUCCCCUUACUUUCUCUCUCUGUUGCUCUCUCAUUCUCCCACCUUCAAAGCCUGUUUUGUUGCUCUCUAACGAGGGCCAGUGCUGCAAAUUUAUGCCACCUACACAAAAAAGGAAUUUGCUGUGGCUUUUGUCACUGAGAGUAACUUCUUUAGAAACUGCAUAUCCCAUUUGAUAUCGAAAGAGAAGAUUCAUGGUGCCAUUCAAUGCUGUCUCCAUGACUAAGGCAACUAUAACCACUCAAUUCUACCGUGGAAACAGUGAACGUGUAUGCAGAUGUUGGAGGUAAUCUGGGAGCUUGUGGGCCUGGCAAGCUCAACAUUAACACUGGCUGAGCUACUGGCAGAGGAACAGUAAAAUUCGGCCCAAAAUCUGUUUAUUCAAGAGCCCAUGGAGAGAGGUGGAAGACUAUUCCUUUUCCGAGCAAGGGAGAGCCUCUGAGAUGGGCUGUUGAUGUGAUACUCUGAGGACACCUCCGCCAAAAAGGCCCCCGGAUGCAGCCCCAGGCAUUCCUGAGGGGCAGCUCAGUUUCCAUGGGGAUUAGGUCCAUCGAAUACAUAGGUGAGACAGCAGAAUAGAUCCAACUGAAAAAGACCCAUACACCUGAAAAGAGUUCCCUAGUGAUUUUGGUUGUGUAGAAACUGCCUGACAGGAAAACAAUACUGCAGUGCCUGCUAUGCAGUUUUCUUGGCAGAGCAGACAGUCGGUUAGGACUAGACACUGUCUCUGGGAACACCCACUGGUAACAAGCUUAGUUUUCUUAAGCAUGGAGAUAUUAGCUUAGUUUCCUCCAGCUAUGAUUUAAGAAUUGCACCUCUUGCCCUGUAUUCUGCUCUCUUGGGGUAUCAUAAGCCACAAUUUCAGCACAUGCUCUAUAUUAUAAAGUUCUGUAAAUGCCAUCUUGUGCAGAAAGCCCCCUUAUUCUUAAUCACACAAAAGAGGAGAAAUGUUGCUUAUAGGUAACUUAAAAAUGAUAAUAACUCUAAUAUAAUGUAUAAUGAAGAUCAAUCAGAGUUCGGGGAUGAGCUGGAUGGUUUGUGACUAAUUGUAAUUAACUGCAUAGAUAGGACACAAAAAGUGAUGUCCUCCAUCAGCUCUAGGGAGGAUGUGUUCAUUCCACCCGGCUCAGCCAAUGCCAAAUGUUGGUUAAUGAAUAGAUAUCUUCAAGACUCAGGCUUGAGCUGGAGGAGAACAUUAGUUGAAGGAAAAUCACAAAGAUAAAAGCAACUAAUGAAAUGAAUCUCCAAACUUAUUCCAAACUGCAGGAUUGCUUUGGUGGUGUGUAACAAUGAACUGUUGGAGCUGGUCCUAGAUAUCCCUUCUCAUUGAAGCACCCAUAACUAUGCCUGACUUUUUCCAGAGAAAAACAUGCAACAGUUUACGAUACACCACUUUCAAGUAGCACCAGCUCUCUUAUUAGUAUUAUUUUACUGACUCUAAAAUCUAACCAAAGUACAAGUAAUUUAUUCCUCCGGCAGUGCUACCCCCUAUAUUCAGCAACCUAAUCUUGAGUCAUUUUGGGUAAGGGGAUUUCUCUGUGGGUAAGGCGCAGGAUGGGGAUGAGCAGGCAGCAUGGGUUAUGUCUGUACUGUAUGUAGAACUGCAGCCUGCUGUUCACAAAGAGAGGAGGGGUUAGUCUCUGUCUCUUAUCUCUCUGAUAGAGCUUGGACUCAACACUUGGAGCUUCGAAGAGGCCACAGAGGAAACAGGCUUUGAGAGUUUUACUGGUGCUCUAAUACACUCUUUCUCUCUUUCUGAUAAGAUUCAUGACGGUACAAAAAUGCACAGGGAGGACACAGCUCUCCUGGCAUGCAUGGCUGCAGACAGGCUGGAAAUUCUGAUGAAAGGAGUAGUAUAUUUGGACAAGACAUAUCAUUAAGAUAGGCAGAAAAAAAGGCAGGGAGGAUGAGUUCGAUAUUUUCCAUCUGUUCUUCAAAUGCUGUUUUAGUAUUUUUUUGCAAUGAAAAAAGAAAGACAUAGCAGCCAAGCUUAAGAAAAUUACCCAGACCAGCAUGACUAGUGGAUUCAAAAUAUCCAGCCUUUUUUUUUAUCUACACUAGAGUACACAUACACAUAGUCUCUAUAAGAACAUAUUUACAUAUUUUUAACAUGGAUACAUAUAUAUAUAUACUAUAUUGCCAAAAGUAUUCACUCACCUGCCUUGACUCGCAUAUGAACUUAAGUGACAUCCCAUUCCUAAUCCAUAGGGUUCAAUAUGAUGUCGGUCCACCCUUUGCAGCUAUAACAGCUUCAACUCUUCUGGGAAGGCUGUCCACAAGGUUUAGGAGUGUGUUUAUGGGAAUUUUUGACCAUUCUUCCAGAAGCGCAUUUGUGAGGUCACACACUGAUGUAGGACGAGAAGGCCUGGCCCUCAGUCUCCGCUCUAAUUCAUCCCAAAGGUGUUCUAUCGGGUUGAGGUCAGUACUCUGUGCAGGCUAGUCAAGUUCAUCCACACCAGACUCUGUCAUCCAUGUCUUUAUGGACCUUGCUUUGUGCACUGGUGCACAGUCAUGUUGGAAGAGGAAGGGGCCAGCUCCAAACUGUUCCCACAAAGUUGGGAGCAUGGAAUUGUCCAAAAUGUCUUGGUAUGCUGAAGCAUUCAGAGUUCCUUUCACUGGAACUAAGGGGCCAAGCCCAGCUCCUGAAAAACAACCCCACACCAUAAUCCCCCCUCCACCAAACUUUACACUUGGUACAAUGCAGUCAGACAAGUACCGUUCUCCUGGCAACCGCCAAACCCAGACUCGUCCAUCAGAUUGCCAGAUGGAGAAGCGUGAUUCGUCACUCCAGAGAACGCGUCUCCACUGCUCUAGAGUCCAGUGGCGGCGUGCUUUACACCACUGCAUCCGAUGCUUUGCAUUGCACUUGGUGAUGUAUGGCUUGGAUGCAGCUGCUCGGCCAUGGAAACCCAUUACAUGAAGCUCUCUGCGCACUGUUCUUGAGCUAAUCUGAAGGCCACAUGAAGUUUGGAGGUCUGUAGCGAUUGACUCUGCAGAAAGUUGGCGACCUCUUCACACUAUGCGCCUCAGCAUCCGCUGACCCCACUCCGUCAGUUUACGUGGCCUACCACUUCGUGGCUGAGUUGCUGUCGUUCCCAAACACUUCCACGUUCUUAUAAUACAGCUGACAGUUGACUGUGGAAUAUUUAGGAGCGAGGAAAUUUCACGACUGGAUUUGUUGCACAGGUGGCAUCCUAUCACAGUUCCACGCUGGAAUUCACUGAGCUCCUGAGAGCGACCCAUUCUUUCACAAAUGUUUGUAAAAACAGUCUGCAUGCCUAGGUGCUUGAUUUUAUACACCUGUGGCCAUGGAAGUGAUUGGAACACCUGAUUCUGAUUAUUUGGAUGGGUGAUCGAAUACUUUUGGCAAUAUAGUGUAUAUAUAUAUAUAUAUAUAUAUAUAUAUAUAUAUAUAUAUAUAUAUAUAUAUAUAUACUGUACAGAUAUUUCUUUCAAUAUGAACUACAUCUUCCUAACCAGAACUGUAACCUGCUCAGCUUAUUAAUUAAAUUUUGGAUAUGCUGCUAUUGUUGCCUUAAAGCUCCAGUUUGAUCCUGAGGAUGGUUUAGUAGCUCUGCAGAGUAGCAUGAUGUAUCCAUGUGGUUGUGUAGUACUUCUCCUUGUUCUCUGUGUUCUCUGAUUUCCAUCCACCUCCCAAAAACUUGCCAGUAGGUGAACUGGCUAUGCUAAAUUUAUGCUAAGGUGUGAAGGGCAUGCAUGAUUUCUUUAAUCUCUUGAUCAUGUAAAAAUCCAGAUACAAAUAAAUAGUAUUUAAAUACUUUUUUCCUGGGCUUAAAGAUCUUACUUUGAGAUAUUGGAAUAUGCCAGUGGGCAGUGGUCAUGAAGUCAAAUGUGUGAGCAGUAGCAACUGUGAAUGGACAGGGAGAUACUGUCAAAACAAGUGUUAAGCAAUAUAGGAAGAAUAGGUAAUCGGGUCCUAAUGAGCAAUGUUAUUGAACUGUGUAAUAUGUACCUCCCACCCCUCAACCUCAUUCUCUCUGAACCUCCUUUUUCGACUGGAAGCAGUAGUUUUCUUGGAGACACAAAAAUGUAAAGCACUUGUUAAUCUGUAGGUGGGAGUUCAGUUAAGGAAACAAAAUCGUUUACUAGAGGUACUGUUUUAAUGGUUAUUUUAUCAAAGUAUCUCAGUACCUAUGAAUAUGUUCUGAAUGUUUCUAUUGGUGUUAACAGAGUAAAUGACAUAAUAUUACCACAUAUAUGGAGACUAUAAUGGAGGUAUAAGCAUUACCUAGGCAAGUACAAUAAAGCCAAAAAGCAGAUAACCUACCUAAAAUUCACCAACUACAGCUCCUUAGAAUCCUACAGAGUUGGCCAGCAUGACAUGUCAGAAUUUCACUCCAGCAAUUAUUGCCUAGGGUUAGUAUUGGUAUUAACAGUCUGAUGACAGUGAGAUAUUGAGAUGAAUCAAAGGCUCCCCAGAAGGCAGCGUGUCGUCUCUCAGUCUACAAUCUGGUCCAUCCAGAGCCAUCUCUGGGGUAGGAGUGCGUGUGGGCCAGCCAGCUGUAGAACAGGCCACGUUUGUGUUGUCUUGUAGCCUCUGGCGUGGCUUUUCCUGAUCUCAGUCACAAGGCCUAUGUUCCCAUGGCUGUCCCACAGCCUACAAUAUGUUUCAUGCAAAUUCUCUCCCACAUUGUGACGCUCUCAAUUUUUCAACAAAUCCCAGUUUAUAUGGUAAUGCUACAUAAAAUGAAAUAAUGAGAUUUCUGGGAUAUUGGGGCCAUUAGAUUGUUGUCUGAAAGUCAAAACUUCAGGUUUUCAGGUGACUGUGGGAAUAGUCUGCCCAACACAGAGCUUGGGUUAGAUAGAAUUAACCAGGAUAUAAACAUAACUCUUGCUUCAAAUGUGGCUCGGCAAUGUUGCAAUUAUAAAUAUCUGCAUUAAAUUAGCCACAGUUUGUUCCAAUUACCUACAAUCAGAUCACAUGGAGAUGACUGAGCAAUAUGAAAACAGCCCCCACCCCUUCUCAGGGAAAAUCACAGUAAACAAGCAUGCAUAAAGUAAAAUAAAAUUAAAUUCUAAUUUAAUGUUCCAUUCAAAGCCUAAUUAUUUUUUUCUGCUUUUUGACUAUUUGCAGGGCACUCUUGAGUGCAUUUUUGGGCUAGAGACUUCAGGUUUGGUUGAUGAGUCCACAACUUCUGGCCCAGUUUAAGCACUUGAUAUUGUUUAGUCCAUGGCAAGCUCAGGUAUUAUUAAUGGGUUUAGAGACGCUGAUCUAAUAGUGAACUCGUUCUGCAACAUACUGUUCUAAGAGUAGGGGUAUUCAAGUCAAGUCAAGAAGCUUUUAUUGUCAUUUCAACCAUAUAUAGCUGACGCAGUACACAGUGAAAGGAAACAAUAUUUCUCCAGAACCUUGGUGCUACAUAAAACAACACAUAGCUAAGGACUAAAAUUUAGUUGUCCUAGCCAUAUAAAGGGCUAACCCUGGCAUUGUGUGCAACCUAGUGCAAAUAGUGCAAGACAAAAAAACAGUGCAAACAGACAAAACAAAAUAGUACAGGACAGAUACACAAAAUACACAAUAGAGUGACCAGUAUACAUUAUGUAUAAUAUGUUAUAUAACUAAGGAAUGAAGAACACAUGAAUUUUCAAGUGAUGAAAGAGCAGUUCCUCUCCCUGUCUCUGUAUCAUAACUGUGCUGUGGACACCAUUCUCUCUUGACUUCUCUUAGCAUUUUAAAGGCCCUACAGAGAUUGUCUUAUAUCACUUGUUUAAUGAGAUGUGGUGGUUCCUUAAUUUUUUCACAGAUUUCAUCUUGUUAAUUCCCACCCACUUUUUUUUUAAGUUUCCUUUUAAUAUGAUAUCCACCAAGCUGCUGCCCAUGCAGUGUCACGGUGCCACAUAAUGCACUUGAAGGAAAUCUCUAUCUGCCAUAUUGUACAUGCAUGAGCACACAGAUGUCUGUGACUGGCUAAUGUAGCUGUGACAGGGUGAGAAUAUGCCAUCCCUAUGCCACACAUAGCAGUGGUAUCCCCGGGACUCAACUGCUGUCAACUGUUAAUAAAGGACAAGACUGAUUAUAUAAGGACAGCUGGCAGAUCAUACCUGGCAUAGAUACAAGUGUUGUUGAUGCUACUGAAACAGUGAGAAAUGGAUAACCUCUAUUCCAUGGUUGAAGAUUUGUUUGUGAUAUUCUGUAUUCAUGGUAGCACAGCCAAAGGGAGGUGCACUAAUAUAAAUUAGAGUGAGAUUUUACAGCAUGGCACUCCUAAUUAAUGUUUUUGUUUCUACACUUCACUAAACUUUAUAAUUGGCUUGUCUUUUUCACUGCCCUUAAUUACAUUAUUUCAUAUUCAUUUAAUGGUUCUAAGAUAGAGGCACCUUGCUUUCUUGCACUAAUUAACAACAGCUUUGCCACUUUUUGCUCUCGAAUUUGUGAGCUACAUCUCUUCUCACAUUAAUUAAUUGAUUUAUUUACACACUCUGCUUUGUAUGUGUUU